AUGGCUGGCGCGGGCGGGGGGACUGCUGCGGCUGCGGUGGUGCAGCCAGCCGCCGCUGCUGGCGCGGGGAGGAGCAGCUCUUCGUCGGCCGGAGCCGGUGGCGGUGGCGCUGGGGGCGGUCCCGUGGCGGACCCGCGGGCGGAGGCGCUGCGUUGCCCACGCUGCGACUCGGCCAACACCAAGUUCUGCUACUACAACAACUACUCGCUGUCGCAGCCGCGCCACUUCUGCAAGGCCUGCAAGCGCUACUGGACGCGCGGGGGCACGCUCCGCAACGUCCCCGUCGGCGGAGGCUGCCGCAAGAACAAGCGCUCCAGGAGCAGCAACGGAUCAGGGGGAAGGCCGGGCUCCUGCGCUGUCGUCGCCUCCUCCAACGCCGCUGCCGGCGGCAUCGCGUCGUCUACCUCCAUGUCGCUCCCGCCGCCGGGCUCCCUCUCCUCGGCGCUGGGCCUCCACGGCCACGGGAGCAGCUCCCUGGCCUCGCUGCUGCUCGGGAGCGGCGCCUCGGGCGGCGACCACCUCGGCCUCUUCCACGCCAUGCAGUCGGUCGUCUCGGACGCCACCGCCUACGAGAUGCACCAGCAGCACCAGACCCAGGUGGAUCAGCUGCUGGGGCUCGGCUACGGCGCCGGCGACGCCAACGGCUCGCAGAUCCACAUCAAGCCCUGGCAGCAGCACCUUCAAGACGGAGCUGGCGGUCUCUUUGACGGCUUCUACGCGCCGCUGCUGUCCGGCUCCAUCGUGCCGGGACUGGAGGAGCUGCAUGUGAAGGCCGAGGCCACCGCCGGCGAGCACCACCACCAUCACCAGAAGAAGGCGACCGAUGGGGAUCAGCAGAGCUGGGAUCAACAUCCAACGUCGUCGUCGUCUAACGUCGAGGCUAACAUCAUGGCCUCGGACGCGCUCAUGGCCGCCGCCGCCGCGGCGUCCAUGAACCCAGCGGUCAGCAACGCUGCCACGGCGCCGACGUCCUCCCCUCUCAUGUACUGGGGCAACGGGAACAUCGGCGGCUCGCCUGCAACGUGGCCAGAUAUGGCCAACUGCGGAUCCUCCAUUGCAACCUUCUUCUAG
rnacentral:rRNA from 1 species